UCGAAUGAUUAUACAUUUUUAACCCAGAUCUACACCAUGAAGAUCAAAAACGCAACAAACACUCUAAUUUUUUAAUGACU
rnacentral:snoRNA from 1 species